AAACAUUCAAUUGUACUAAUUAAUUAAAUAUUCAACUAAAAAAUAUUUAAUUAAUUUAUUUCUACAAAACCAUCAAUUCUAAAUCAAAUAUUUCAAAUUAACGUCUACUAGUUAUAACAUAAUUAAAUAAAAUUAAGAUAAUUAUAUUCAAUAUUACCUUAAUCGUUGGGGGUUACAAUCUUCCCUCCGGUGUGAAACUUUCAUCUUCGAAAGUUCUAUUCAUCGAACAACUUGAAAUAUUAGACUCUCAUAUUUUAACAUUUUUCAUCAAAUUCCAAAAUCUUUAAUUAAAGAUACAUACCUAUGUAUAUAUAUUUAAUUAACUGAACACAUUACACUAAAUAAAUUCUUUACCUAAUUUUAAUCUAACACUAAAUAAAUUUCAUAACUUUCAUUUCCAUUUAAUGCAAUACUCAUAAUAAGUUCCUUAAACUUUUGGGGUGUUACAAUCUUCCCUUGCUAAGAAACUUUUGUCCCUCAAAAGUUAUAGUCCUUGAACAAUUCGGGUAUCAUGCUCUGUUAGCUCUCAUUCCACUCUCCUUUAUUUAUUUUUAUUUAUUUUAAUAUCUCCUACAUUGUGAAAAACAAGUUAGAAUACUUUUUAUACUCCUUAAAGUUUGAGUCAUUUUGAUAAGAACAAUUAUAACCAAUUUAGUUGGACAUAAGACUUGAAUUCCGUUAGAUGUUGAAAAAAAUGAAGAUAAAAGCAAAAUGAAAGUUAAUUAUAAAGUGAGGGGCAGAAUGGUCUUUUCUUAAGAUCAUUCUAAGAAAAUUCGAAUGCUUAUCAUAUUCAAAAUUUAAAUACAUACAUUAUAUCAAAACAUAAUAUCAAUACAUACAUACAUUUUUUUAAAUUCAAUAAAUAGAUAUACAUACAUUUUUCAUUAUAUUAUGCACUACAUACAUACAUACAUUUUUCUAAUAUUUAACAAACAUACAUUUGAAUCUAAAUCCUAAAAACAUUCAUUAUCUUAUACACAUUCAAUUUUCUAAUUUUUCUUUUAUAAAAAGAUAAUAACCUUGUGGCGGUGAACGACAAUGGAGAACGGUGGGCGGCAAAAAGAACGGUGGUGGCGACAACGAACAACAUGAACGGUGGCGCAAGACAACAAGCUCUCUUCCUGAUCUCUCUCAACCCUCUUUACAAUUCUCUUUGUGUUUUUGUUCUGUUUUGUGUUCAUGAAGAAAGAAAUAGACCCGACAUUUCCCAACGUUCUAAAAAAAGUCAGGGUAACACACCAUCCUUGACGUCGUACAUGCAAACGUCAGAGAACGUUAAAACCUUCCUCGACGUGUCACUAAUGGUGUCGCAGAUAGGUUACAUUUCAAAUUUAUUAGAUAUUAUUUUUCCACGACAUGGUCAACGCGACAUCGGUCAAAGGGGACCUAAUUCUGACGUGCCUCUACCACAUGUAGGGAAAGUUUACGUAUUUACUAACUGUAUUAUUCUACUUUUCCUAACGUGUGUUAGGGACACGCCAAGGAAAAGUGAAACAAUUAUUUAAUUAAUGUUCCCACUUUCUCCGACGUGUCUCUACCACACGUUGGAGAAAGUGGAAACAUUAAAUAAUUGUCUCCAUCUUCUCUGACGUGUGUCUCUUGAACGUUGGGGAACAUCUCUAAAGCCGACGCAAGUAACAAUUUGGUUGGUCAAGGUCGAUGCCAAUUUUUCCAACAUCGUUUUGUAUAUAUUCAAGUAAAAAUAGAAAUAUUAUAGUAUCUAAAAGAACAUUGUUGACUAACCCGAGACAAAGAAUGUCGGUUCUUAACUAUUGGGAAUCAUAAAAAAUAGACAAUAAUAUAACAAUUUAACAAAAAUAAAUUUGUAAAAACAAACACAAGAAGACAAGACUUUAAUGUCGAUUUUAAACUGAUAUUAUUGGGGAUUUAUGAUGUCGGUUUUAUACCGACAUUGUUGGCCUCUUUAAUGUCAGCUUUAAACCAACACCAAAGCCCAAUCGAUGUUAAAGGACUUUAAUAACAUGAUCAUAGAUGUCAAUUUAAAAUAGACACCGUACCUCUUUAAUGUAGAUUUGAAACCAACUUCAAAGCCCAAUCAACAUUAAAGAGCUUUAAUAACACUAUCAUAGAUAUCAGUUGUCAACCGACAUGAAAACCCUUUAAUGUUGGUUUUAAACCAACAUUAAAGCCUAGUUUUAUACUAGCAUUACCUUCCAUCCUGGCAGGACAAGCACCAGGAUUUGCCCAAGAACUUAAAUCUCUAAAGCUUGUUAUCCUUCAUCUUGAUUAGGAAACACCGAGAUUAGUCUCGAGAUUAGGAUUCUUAACUUCUCUGCCUUCCAUUUUGGCUAGAUAAGAAUCGAGAUUAGCCCGAGAACUCAAUAUCUAAAGCUUUAUGUUUUUCAUCUCAGCCAAGAAACAUCGAGGUUAUCCUCGGGGUUAGGCUUCUUAACUUCUCUGCCUUAUUCCAUCCUGGCCACAAGCACCAAGAGAUUAGCUCGAGAACUCUAUCUCUAAAGCCUUUUGUCCUUCUUCUCGAUCGAGAAAUACCGAGAUUAGCCUCGAGAUUAAACUUCUUAACUCCUUUGCCUUCCAUCUCGGUUGGACAAGCAAUGACAUUAGUCCAGGAACUCAAUCUCUAAAGUUUUAUGUCCUUCAUCUCAGUCGGGAAACAUCGAGAUUAGCCCCAAAAUUUCACUUCUUUCUUCAAUUUCACUUAACUUCUCUAUCUUCCAUCCCAAUCAGGCAACACCGGGAUUAACACAAUAACUUAAUCUCUAAAGCUUUUUGUCCUUCAUCUUGGGUUGGAAAACACCAAGAUUAAUCCUAAGCUUUCACUUCUAACAUUUUGUGUGCCGUGUAUGCCACCAAAGAUGGAAAGAAAAUAAUUGCAAUUAGUUCGAGUGAUUUAGGUUUUUAUGGCCUUUUUUUGGUAUUUCACCGUCUAUUUUGAGUUUUGUACAUAAUGGGUUAAAAAAUUGCUAGGAGAUGUAAAUAUUUUGCCUAAUUAUUCUAUUUCAAGGAAUCUCUCGGUAUAAAACAUAUCUUUAAUUAUUUAAAAUUAAUUUUGUGAUAUCAAACUUAUAAAAAGGAAAAUUACAAUCUAAAACUGUAAAAUUAAAUAUUAAAUUAAUUAAUUUUGAAAUAAUAAAAUAUGGUGUUUCGAAAUAAAUAGUGAACAUAUUUAGCACUUCCAAAUCAUGACAUCCCAACAAUCAAUCAUCUAAAAACACUUAUUUGCAAAAGACAAUGCAUUUCAUCCCAUAGAAAUAAUUUAUUUCCCUCUACAACUACUAUAUAUUAUAAUAAAGAUUAAUUUAUAAACAAACCCAACUAGGUGUCACUUAAUUAAUUGAUUGAGUUCGUAUUCAAUAUAUUAAAAUAGAGUUUAUUAUGAUCCGGCCAAAUGUAACAAAACUAAAAUAGAAAGAAAAAAGUUCCAUAACAAAUUCAAUGAGAAAGAAAAAACAAUCCUUUUAACAUUAUUGAUGCUUCGUAUAAGGAGCAGAAGCCUCCUCCUUUCUGUGACAAAUGCUUCUUUUUUAAUAUCAUAUCUCACCUAUGUCGAAACUAAUAUUAAACUUUUUUCCCUUAAAAUGCAUCUGAGAAAAAUUCUUCUCACUUAUUUUUCAAAAUAUUAUUUACCUGUUUGAAUCAAAUACACAGCUCGAAAUACGCCCAACAAAUCUAGAAGGGAGGUGGCGGGGACUUUUUGACGUGAUUGGGAGGCCAUUGAAACUUGGGCGGUGGGGGAGGCGGCGGGCGUGCAACAGUUCCACAUAGUGGCGGUGGUGGAAGAUAUUUUCUGUGGUGGCGAUGGCGAUGACGAUUUUUGAACGGAGAAGAGUGGGCAUCAACAAGGGACAGGAAGCUUGAAGAAAGGAGUAAUAAUGUCACCAAAAUGGCGAAAAGGAGAGAAGACAUCGAAGACUUCAUUUUGUUUUGUUUUGGCGUUUUAAUGAAAUCAUAUGGUUUUGUUUGGGUUUGUAUAUAUAUUGUCACACCAUACCAACUACUCCCCGGCGGCUGUUUGACAUUUUCCAAAUUGGUGAGUGAGAAUUAAGUUGGGAUGUGAUAGCUAUGACCCCGUUCAUUUAUUUUUAAUAACUAAAUAAUUUUGGAGUGCCA
rnacentral:lncRNA from 1 species